UGUCAACAAAGCUGAAACAUCUUAAGAGUAUAUACUUUAAGUACCCACUAUGCAUAUAUAUUUUUAUAUGAAUUUUGUUAAGUUUAGGAAACAUUAUUUAACAUUUAAAAAAACAAUACAAUGAUGCAAUUUCAAAGUCUUUUGUUUCUGUUAAGUACAAGUCAUGGAAACAUUACAGUGUUUUAUAUUCCCAACUAAAAGCACUGGUAAGGACUGAAGACAAACACCUCUUCUACUUGGAUAAUAGUCCAGUAUGGUGCCAUUUAAAACACUUUGGCAUCAGAAUGGACAUGAGUAAUCAACACGCAAGAAAAGGAAGAAAGAAUUUAGAAAAUACAGAAGACACGUACACACGGUCCAUCUUAACUCAAUCUUAACUAUAAAUAUCUUGUAUAACAAAGCAGCAUAUAGUGCACACAUUUCCAAAGGACAGAAUUGGCUGACUUUUCUUCUUCUAUAUAUUUAAUAUUGCUCUAAGCGGGGGAAAAAAAAACAGGAUCAGAGCAUGUAAUUCUUUGAAAACUGUUUAACUGAAAUGCAAGCCGCAUGUAUUAGUAAAAUGUGCAGAUUUUUGUUUAUUAAUAAUCACAUUUUAAAUUAUUUACAAGUUACAUUUCUUUCAUCUUAAAAAAACAAUUUUGAGUGCAUUUUAACUAUUGAAAAAUAAA